rnacentral:rRNA from 1 species
GACGGGGGGGUCCUAGCGUUGUUCGGAAUCAUUGGGCGUAAAGCGUGUGCAGGUGGUUUUGUAAGUUAGAUGUGAAAGCCUUGGGCUUAACCCAAGAAGUGCAUUUAAAACUACAAAACUUGAGUAUGGAAGAGGGUCGUGGAAUUCCAGGUGUAGUGGUGAAAUAGCGUAGAUAUCUGGAGGAACACGGUGGCGAAGGCGGCCCACUGGUCCGGUACUGACGCUGAGGUGCGAAAGCGUGGGGAGCAAACAGG